rnacentral:rRNA from 1 species
UACGUAGGGUGCGAGCGUUGUCCGGAAUUAUUGGGCGUAAGGAGCUCGUAGGCGGCUUGUUACGUCCGACUGUGAAAUCCCGCGGCUCAACUGCGGGCUUGCAGCCGAUACGGGCAGGCGUAGAGUUCGGUAGGGGAGACUGGAAUCCUGGUGUAGCGGUGGAAUGCGCAGAUAUCAGGAGGAACACCAAUGGCGAAGGCAGAUCUCUGGGCCGUAACUGACGCUGGAGGAGCGGAAAGCAUGGGGAGCGAACAGG